ensembl:lncRNA LINC01344 long intergenic non-protein coding RNA 1344
GUUGAAUUUCAUUUUGCUGACUUCAUCUCAUCCUGUGUGUUCCAGUGCUGGCAGACUCUGUGGGUGAAUCCAGUUUUUUGAGAGGGAAAAAAAUCUGUGAAGAUAUGAGCAGAGGCAGUUUCCAAACAGGGUCACAUUAACAAUGAUCAUUGCUGUCCGAUGGGCUCCUGCAUCCUCCACCCUCUCUGUGAGAUCUCUCCUUUAGGUUUCAUCAGGAAUCCUCAGGAAUCUUUUGCAUGUGCCCACAUGAUCCCGCAUGGACUCUGCCCCAUGAGGGUGCUGAUGUCUGCCAACGCUGCUGCCACCAUGUCCCCAAAGAUAUAGAUAGUUACAGUCUCAGAAGAAUUCAAGAUCCCCCAAAUGCUGCAGGAUUAGCACAGAAGCAGACAGAAUAUUGCUCCUUCCCACUUUAGCUACCUUUUCUCCCCCGGCAUCAGAUUGUGCUGUUCACAUCUCCCCUAGCUUCUGAAAACUGGCUAUUGCAGCUUCAGUGUACAGUUUCUUUUUACCUGGAGCCAAGGGAGGAGCCCGCUGAUGUCUGAAGUACCCAAGCCGGCUCCACUCCAGGGUAUAGACUCCCACCACCAAAAUCCCCUUCCAAAGUGACCCUUGCCCCGCCUUUCUGUGACACACACGCAGACAGGUCUGAAUUGCUGAAAUGAACGCUAUUUAGGCUGAACUGGGGGCCCUGAUAUGCUAUUUAAAGAAAAAAGAAAUGAGAAAUCAUAGGAAUCUUGAAGCUAUUCAUCUUGAAGACCAUUCACGGAAGCAGUGAAAUUAAACAUAGCAUCCUUCAAUAUAUUCCCUCCAAACAUAAACUUGGGCUAUUGUUCCUUCAUAAUGCCAGUUUACCUCUGGGAGUUUGAGAGGCGGGUACUCAUGUCCUCUCAGCACAAUCACCAAAGCACUGCACCAGGUAUCAGGAGGAAACAAGAACAAAUCUAUUGUCAGGAAGCCUGAGGGUUGACCCAAACACAGCAGAGCUAUGGAAAAUUAUUUUGGAAACUAUUUCUUACAUAGCUGCCUGCAGUUGUUCAACCUGAUUCUUAGACUGGACUGGAAGAGGAAAACCACUCAUCAUCUGAGAAGCCUUCGUGUUGCUAUUUUAUUAAGGACAGAAACAUAAAGAGAAAAAAAUCCA